rnacentral:pre_miRNA from 1 species
CGCGCGACGGGGUAUUGGCGCGGUUCAAUUCGAGAGCUCGAGCCCUAGACUAGACGCCAGGGAGAGAGGGGGCUCUGCUCUCUGAUUGAGCCGUGCCAAUAUCACGUCCCGCUUG